UACGAAUCGAAAAUGAAGCGAUAUACCGACGGCGGCGAAUCCUGCCGAUGGUUCACGAGCGAGAUCAACAAAGAUGGAGAUACGUGUCUGGCUCUGCUCGAUCUCCGACUCCGAGCCUGCAAUGGAACCAAGUGGGGGUGGGCUGGAAGUUAUUUGCGGGCAAUGGUGGAGUUUAUUGGUGACUAUUAUUGAUUGUGAAUUUUUAACACUCGAAUAUUAUUUAUUUGAUAAUAACGCGCGCGCUAAAUGCAGAGGACGCAGCAAACUCACCGCGACUACUAACGCCAGCAAACGACGAGGAAGGACGCUACUAGAUUAAAAGGGCGGGAAACUCUGCCGGCUGGCUUUCUAUUUGAUAAGUGGGGGGCGCUGCUGAGUGAUUGGCUGUCGUUACUCCCACCUGUCGGCUGGCUUCGGUAUCACUCGGGUUGCUCGGGUAAGAACGGAAGUACUCGAAGUAAAAGGAAAUUUAAGUUUUGUUUCAGGGGAUAAAAUAACGAUUCAUUUUUUUUACCUACGGGCAGGAGGAAUUGAAAAUUAGAUUUUAAAAAAAAGGCGGGAAUUUUGAAUUUUGAUUUUAUGAAUUAAGGGGUUACGGUAACCGAUUUUCAAUUCAAUUCAAUUUACGGACAAACACUAGAAAUCUGAAAUAGAGAGUCUUUAGCGUUUUUUAAAACCUUAACAGAGGGCUAGAAAUAUCGUAUUGUCAAAAAUUCUAAUUUAUCUCCGAGAAAAAUUGUUUUAAAAUCCUCAUUUACUCAACGAGUGCAACAAAGAUAGUCUCGUUUAUUUUUCUGAGUGUGAGAAAGAGGUCCGGUAGCGUAUCCCCUUAAGUAAAAAACUUUGUAGGCUUUUUUAAUUAAUUUUAUUACGAGAAAAAGUCGAACCAAAAAAUUUUAUAUCAUCGGGCUCACUGAAAUCUGAUGGCAGUAACAUUUUUUAAACCAGUAAAUCUACAGCUAGAAAUGGUUUUGUAAGUCUUAAAUAUAUAAGAAACUUUUUUUAAACUAUUUAAGUAAUUUGAUUAUUUAUGUAUGAUACUAAAGUUAGCAGACGUCUAAUAAUUUUUUAAUUUUUUUUUAGAUGAUAAAACAUAAAAAAAAAAAUAUUUGAAAAAAUUGCACCUGUAGUUUUUUGAAUUUUCUACAUGUGCAUAUUUUUCUUUUAUUUUUUUGCAAUUGAUUUGUUGAAAGCCGGAAAUUCAGAAAUUUUUAAAAGUCUGCUAACUUCGGGAUCAUUAUUUAUGUUAGGUCUAAAAUUCAUGCACAACUUAUAUAGCAUCAGUAUUUAUAUGAAAUUUUGAUAUAAUAAAUAUGUCUUACUUCUAUAAUUUGUACUAUAAUUAUAGUCAUUAUAUUUGAUUACAGUCAAUGACUAUAAUUAUAGUCAUUAUAUUUGUACUAUAAAUUAUAGUUAAUGACUCGAGUUACGGACUCUACUUAAAGGACCUUUUUGUACCAAAUUUAAUGCUCUACAAAAGCCCAUUUUAAUGAAGCACCCUAAUGUACAUUUUUUUUUAUGUAAUUGAGUUAUUGAAAAAAAAUCUAAAAAUCUUUAACUGUCUGUUAACUUCAGGAUUAUAAAUAAAUAACAAUUGGGUUUGGGUAAACAAAUUAUAGAAUAGUUGUUUCAUAACUCAUUGAUUUUAUGUAAUUUUCUAACAGACUUUUUUUUUUAUACAAAUUACAAAGAUUUUUAUUAUCAGCAUCACUCGGUGCAAUCGAGCGAUAUAAAUUAUUUUUCAAUAGAUUAUAAAAUAUAGUUACGUAUAAUUAGUUAAUUAUUUUUUUAACAGUUCAAUAAAUUUGUGAGCUAUUUAAUUACAUUCAUUAAUAUUAUAAUUGUGUAAAUUUUAUUUGCGCGUUAUCACACGGAAUUUAUUAUUAAUUAUUUAUAUAAAUAUUGAUAGAAAAAGCUUAUAAAAAUAUUUCCUCUUCACAUCGCGUUUAUUUAUAACUAUAAUUAUUUAAAAUUUUUUAAUAGUAUAUUUAUGGAUGUUGUAUAAAUUAAAUAAUGAAGAGGAAGUUAACAACAACAAAAAAUAAUCAGUACAAAAGGAAUGGAUAUAAAUGCUUUGAUAAAAAAAAAUUAGUAUAUAUUUACAAGGCAUUUAAAUAUUUAAAACUUGAUUACGAAAUUUUCGUGGCGCGAAAUAUUUUACGACCGAUUUCAGAUAUAAAUUUAUUUUUUUCAUCAGUAGAAUUAGUUCUUGUUUUUUUUUUUUUUU